CUAGCCGUAAACGAUGGAUACUAGGCGUUGUGAGUAUCGACCCUCACAGUGUCGUAGCUAACGCGUUAAGUAUCCCGCCUGGGGAGUACGCGCGCAAGCGUGAAACUCAAAGGAAUUGACGGGGGCCCGCACAAGCGGUGGAGUAUGUGGUUUAAUUCGAUGCAACGCGAAGAACCUUGCCAGGACUUGACAUGUCGCGAAUCUCAGGGAAACUUGAGAGUGCCUUCGGGAGCGCGAACACAGGUGGUGC
rnacentral:rRNA from 1 species